GGGCCCGUGGUGUAGCUCGGUUUAACACGCCUGCCUGUCACGCAGGAGACCGCCGGUUCAAAUCCGGUCGGGCCCG
rnacentral:tRNA from 1 species